rnacentral:rRNA from 1 species
AUUAGAAACUUGGUUCUCUGACUGGCGCGGGGGACGGGGGAGUAACAUAUGGGCGACCCGCCUGUGUCACGGGGAUUACUUCGGGAAACCUAACCUUAUACCGGAUAGGAUCUUCUCCUUGAAGGGAGAUGAUUGAAAGAUGGUUUCCGCUAUCAUUUACCGAUGGCCCCGCAGUGCAUUGGCUAGUUGGAGGGGUACCGGCUCACCAAUGCAACGAUGCAUAGACAACCUGAUCGGGUGAUCUGCCACUCUGGCACUGACCCAACUCCCACACUCCGACGGGAGGCAGAAUAUUGGAAUCUGCCCCAAUGCCCGAACCUCUGACAGAGCAAGGCCGAAUGAGGGAUUAAGGCUUUCAGGUCCUUUAGCUCUGUUGUAAAGGAAGAACAAUUACAACAGUAACUGCUGGCACCUUGACGGUACCUAACCACAAAGCCACUCCUAACUACGUGCCAGCAACCGCGGUAGUAGCUAGGUGGAAUGCGUUUUCCUGAAUUAUUGGGCGGAAAGCGCGCGCAUGCAAUUUCUUAGUUCUGAUGUGAAACUCCACGGGUCAACCGUGGAGGGUCAUGGGAAACUGGAGAACUUGAGAGCAUAACAGAAUUCCUGAAUUCCACGUGUAAAUGCUGAAAUGCGUAGAGAUGUGGAGGAACACCAGUGGCGAACGCGGCUUUUUGUUCUGUAACUGACGCUGAGGCGCGAAAGCGUGACGAGAAUACAUAUUAGAUACCCUGGUACUCCACCCAUAAACGAUGAGUGUUGAGUGUUAUAGGGUUUCAGCCCUUUAGUGCAGCAGCUAACGCAUUCAGCACUCCGACUGGGGUCGUAAGGUCUGCAAGACUGAAGCUCAGAGGAGUGACGCACCCCCGCAUGGACUAUGUGGUUUGUGGCUUUACUCGAAGCAACGCGUAACAUGGUCACUAGAUGUCGACGUACUCUGACGACUCUAAUGAUAGCCCUGCUGCACUCGAGGCACAGAGCUGACAUGGCGUUCAUCAUGUCGUCAGCUCGAGCUGGAAUAGUCGCACUACCGCACCAUCGUCACUAUGAUCUACUUGCAU